UACGUAGGUGACAAGCGUUUGUCCGGAUUUACUGGGCGUAAAGAGCGCGCAGGCGGUCGAUCAGGUCGAGUGUGAAAGCCCCCGGCUCAACUGGGGAGGGUCAUUCGAUACUGAUCGACUCGAAGGCAGGAGAGGGUAGUGGAAUUCCCGGUGUAGUGGUGAAAUGCGUAGAUAUCGGGAGGAACACCAGUGGCGAAGGCGACUACCUGGCCUGUUCUUGACGCUGAGGCGCGAAAGCUAGGGGAGCAAACGGGGAUUAAGAAA
rnacentral:rRNA from 1 species